rnacentral:rRNA from 1 species
GUGGGGAAUCUUGCGCAAUGGGCGAAAGCCUGACGCAGCCAUGCCGCGUGAAUGAUGAAGGUCUUAGGAUUGUAAAAUUCUUUCACCGGGGACGAUAAUGACGGUACCCGGAGAAGAAGCUCCGGCUAACAUCGUGCCAGCAGCCGCGGUAAUACGAAGGGGGCUAGCGUUGCUCGGAAUUACUGGGCGUAAAGGGCGAGUAGGCGGACAGCUUAGUCAGAGGUGAAAGCCCAGGGCUCAACCUUGGAAUUGCCUUUGAUACUGGCUGUCUUGAGUUUGGGAGAGGUGAGUGGAACUCCGAGUGUAGAGGUGAAAUUCGUAGAUAUUCGGAAGAACACCUGUGGCGAAGGCGACUCACUGGCCCAAUACUGACGCUGAGGCGCGAAAGCGUGGGGAGCAAACAGGAUUAGAAACCCCGGUAGUCC